GAUGAACGCUGGCGGCGUGCCUAAUACAUGCAAGUCGAGCGAACAGACGAGAGUUCUUGCUCUCUCUGACGUUAGCGGCGGGCGGGAGAGUAACACGUGUGUAACCUACCUAUAAGACUGGGAUAACUUCGGGAAACCGGAGCUAAUACCGGAUGAUAUUUAGCUUCGCAUGAAGCAAUAGUGAAAGACGGUUCUGCUGUCACUUAUAGAUGGACCCGCGGUGUAUUAGCUAGUUGGUGAGGUAACGGCUCACCAAGGCAACGAUCCAUAGCCGACCUGAGAGGGUGAUCGGCCACACUGGAACUGAGACACGGCCCAGACUCCUACGGGAGGCAGCAGUAGGGAAUCUUCCGCAAUGGACGAAAGUCUGACGGAGCAAUGCCGCGUGAGUGAAGAAGGUUUUCGGAUCGUAAAACUCUGUUGUAAGGGAAGAACAAGUAUGUUAGUAACUGAACGUAUCUUGACGGUACCUUACCAGAAAGCCACGGCUAACUACGUG
rnacentral:rRNA from 1 species